GGGGGGGGGGGGGGGGGGGGGGGGGGGGGGGGGGGGGGGGGGGGGGGGGGGCCCCCCGGUCAGCUGUCCAUCCACGGCCACUG
rnacentral:miRNA from 12 species